rnacentral:rRNA from 1 species
AACGAACGCUGGCGGCAUGCCUAACACAUGCAAGUCGAACGAGACCUUCGGGUCUAGUGGCGCACGGGUGCGUAACGCGUGGGAAUCUGCCCUUGGGUUCGGAAUAACAGUUGGAAACGACUGCUAAUACCGGAUGAUGACGUAAGUCCAAAGAUUUAUCGCCCAAGGAUGAGCCCGCGUAGGAUUAGCUAGUUGGUGAGGUAAAGGCUCACCAAGGCGACGAUCCUUAGCUGGUCUGAGAGGAUGAUCAGCCACACUGGGACUGAGACACGGCCCAGACUCCUACGGGAGGCAGCAGUGGGGAAUAUUGGACAAUGGGCGGAAGCCUGAUCCAGCAAUGCCGCGUGAGUGAUGAAGGCCUUAGGGUUGUAAAGCUCUUUUACCCGGGAUGAUAAUGACAGUACCGGGAGAAUAAGCUCCGGCUAACUCCGUG